rnacentral:rRNA from 1 species
GUUAAAGGAAGCUUCUAAUCCUAAAGUCUAUUUUUUGAUUAGAUCUCAAAUCAGGUAGGACUACCCGCUGAACUUAAGCAUAUCAAUAAGCGGAGGAAAAGAAACUAACAAGGAUUCCCCUAGUAGCGGCGAGCGAAGCGGGAAGAGCUCAAAUUUAUAAUCUGGCACCUUCGGUGUCCGAGUUGUAAUCUCUAGAAGUGUUUUCCGCGUUGGACCGCACACAAGUCUGUUGGAAUACAGCGGCAUAGUGGUGAAACCCCCGUAUAUGGUGCGGACGCCCAGCGCUUUGUGAUACACUUUCAAUGAGUCGAGUUGUUUGGGAAUGCAGCUCAAAUUGGGUGGUAAAUUCCAUCUAAAGCUAAAUAUUGGCGAGAGACCGAUAGCGAACAAGUACCGUGAGGGAAAGAUGAAAAGCACUUUGGAAAGAGAGUUAACAGUACGUGAAAUUGUUGGAAGGGAAACGCUUGAAGUCAGACUUGCUUGCCGGAGCUUGCUUCGGUUUGCAGGCCAGCAUCAGUUUUCCGGGGUGGAUAAUGACGGUUUGAAGGUAGCAGUCUCGGCUGUGUUAUAGCUUUCCGUUGGAUACGCCCUGGGGGACUGAGGAACGCAGCGUGCUUUUUGCGAAAGACUCGUCUUUUUCACGCUUAGGAUGCUGGUGGAAUGGCUUUAAACGACCCGUCUUGAAACACGGACCAAGGAGUCUAACAUGCUCGCGAGUAUUUGGGUGUCAAACCCGGAUGCGCAAUGAAAGUGAAUGUAGGUGGGAACCGCAAGGUGCACCAUCGACCGAU